GGAUUCUCAGGGUGUCGCUCUGCCUUAGCUUUGACUCCACAACUCACACGCCCUGAAUGGUGCACCCGGGUUUUGUUUAGAACUCAAGUUCAUACAAGUGAACUGCAAACUGGAUGGGGGUUUGUUUUGCUUUUUUUACUUUGACAGAAAAAAAAAAAUCUUCCAAAUACCAGAGCUAAUACUUUCUAUCUGUAUACUUCCCUCAUUCACAUGGAGCUCGAGCGAGGGUGGCAGUGAAAUGGAAGAGAGUUGUUUAUCUCUCUUAGCUGCUCUUAUGAACAGAAUAACAAUGGAGGAGUGGAGACAGAUAGGAAGAGGGAGAAAAAGAUGCAGCGCUGUAGCUAUUUACCCGUGAAGUCUUGUUUUGACUCUGGUAUUUGCUCUUUCUCUCGGCCUGGUGGAGAGGAUGCACUGUUUGUAGGAGUGUGUUCCCUGGGACAUAUGUGUUUAAAACUUUCUCUGUGUUUUCAUCCUGACCUGCGUCAUCAGCGCUCUCCUCUGUUUAUGCAGGGGCUCUGUGGAUAUGAAGAGGGAUGUUGGGAUAUCUCUACCACCCACUUUCGCUCGAUAUCUGGGGAGAAUGGAACAGAGGAUUGGACAAGUCCACUUCCACACAGCUCCAGGGGACCUGAACGGAGAGUGUUUAUUGUUGUGAUGUUGUCAUCUUUACCCAGAAGGGUCUUGUCAAGGAGCGAUGAAGCAAUCAAGAAUGAUGCAAUGCUAAAGCGGUUAGCCACACCAAAUUGGCUAAUGAGUAAAUCUCCUCUGCUUUAAUGUCACUUCAUCCAAUCCAACUUCUGAGCCAAUGAGAUAAUUAUGUUUAAGAUGGAAACUUAAGAGAGUAUUUUAGGAGAAUUUCUUUUCCUUUUUGAGGGUGGACUAUCAGAGAGUAAGAGAGAGAGAGGGCGAGCAAAUGAGAGGCAUGAGGGAUGGGACACAGAGAUGCAGGAGAGGAAGCAGACAAACUUGAAGAGAUUGAGAGGGGCCCAUAUUGAGUGACACAGACUCUGGUCUGUGUUUUCUCGAUGGACCAGAGAAGAUGCAGUGUAAAUGAAGCGUGCUGCACCAGAGCGGCUUCUGCUUUAUCCCUGCACUGAGUGUGUUUGUGUGUGAGUUUGAAAGAGAAUGACAGAGGCCUCUUUGAGCACUCAGAGGCCUCUGUUGCCCCUCUGCUCCUCUCUCUCUUUCUCUCUCUCUCUCUGAACAUGACAGGUCGACUGCCAUCCUCUAACUGUACAAUGAACAAAAAUCCAAACGGAUGAAAAUAAACUCAUCCUCCCGAGAGAGAGAGAGAAAGAGAAAGUCCUGCUUCAACACAGCCUUCAUACUGCAUGUCAGGAUGUGUUUAUCUGCUGACACACCAAUUUGAAAGUCUAUCUUUGGAAAGCAUUCUGUAGUUCUGCAACAUACUGACUGUCCUCCCUUUAUUACGUUAUUUUAGAAUAAAAAGGACAAUCCUGAUUUGUGUGAAUACUGAAACAGUAAACCCUGGUGUGUUUGUGAGUCCCAGGGAGGGCUGUUCAGUGUGCGCCUCUGACCUGAAAGGCGAUGGCUUCCCCUUGUGGUGGACAAAAACAAUUACAUUUUAAAUAAAUUACAUAUUUCUGAGCUCUCUCUUGUUGUCUUCAGCACAAGUGUAGAAUGCACCCCUGAAUUAGCUUGUUAAAGUGGAAGAAAAUGAUCUCAAAUUACAAAAAAAAAA